rnacentral:rRNA from 1 species
UCGGGAAUUUUGGGCAAUGGGCGAAAGCCUGACCCAGCAACGCCGCGUGAGGGAUGAAGUAUUUCGGUAUGUAAACCUCGAAAGAAUGGGAAGAAUAAAUGACGGUACCAUUUAUAAGCUCCGGCUAACUACGUGCCAGCAGCCGCGGUAAUACGUAGGGAGCAAGCGUUGUUCGGAUUUACUGGGCGUAAAGGGCGCGUAGGCGGCGCGGUAAGUCACUUGUGAAAUCUCUGAGCUUAACUCAGAACGGCCAAGUGAUACUGCUGUGCUAGAGUGCGGAAGAGGCAACCGGAAUUCUUGGUGUAGCGGUGAAAUGCGUAGAUAUCAAGAGGAACACCUGAGGCGAAGGCGGGCUGCUGGGCCGACACUGACGCUGAUGCGCGAAAGCCAGGGGAGCAAACG